GGUUGUACAAAGUUCGUUAUGAAAUGGAGUGCUUGGUGUAUUCCAUAGUUUUAGCCAUUGGAUUUCACUCAAAACUCUCCAAAUGACUCCUCCCACCAUAUUAUGAUGUUCGUCAAGUUUUGGACACAAUCCGAUAUCGGUUGGUCCAUGAAAUCGGAUAAUUCAAGUUCGUACGAAGUUCCUUCUGAAAUGGAAUGGUUGUUGUAUUGUGUAGUUCUAGGGAUUGGAUUUCACUGAAAACCCACGAAAUGAC
rnacentral:lncRNA from 1 species